rnacentral:rRNA from 1 species
GACGAACGCUGGCGGCGUGCUUAACACAUGCAAGUCGAACGGAAAGGCCCUGCUUUUGUGGGGUGCUCGAGUGGCGAACGGGUGAGUAACACGUGAGUAACCUGCCCUUGACUUUGGGAUAACUUCAGGAAACUGGGGCUAAUACCGGAUAGGAGCUCCUGCUGCAUGGUGGGGGUUGGAAAGUUUCGGCGGUUGGGGAUGGACUCGCGGCUUAUCAGCUUGUUGGUGGGGUAGUGGCUUACCAAGGCUUUGACGGGUAGCCGGCCUGAGAGGGUGACCGGCCACAUUGGGACUGAGAUACGGCCCAGACUCCUACGGGAGGCAGCAGUGGGGAAUAUUGAACAAUGGGCGGAAGCCUGAUGCAGCAACACCGCGUGCGGGAUGACGGCCUUCGGGUUGUAAACCGCUUUCGCCUGUGACGAAGCGUGAGAGAGAAUAAUGGGUAAAGAAGCACCGGCUAGCUACGUG